GGAGGUGUUUGCAACUCCUCCCAAUCCAGUCUUCGUCCCCACGGUGAGGCUUCUCCGCAGUUGGGACGAGGGCUGGAUAGGGAGGCGUUUGUAGCGCCUCCCAAUCCAGCCUUCAUCCCCACGGAGAGGCUUCCCUGCGGUUGGGACGAGAGCUGGAUAGGGAGGCGUUUGCAGCGCCUCCUGAUCUAGCCUUCGUCCCCACGGAGAGGCCUCCCGCACCUGGUAAUCCAAGUUAUCCGGUUGACCGAGCAGAGGUCCGCCUGUUUAACUUGGACUACUGGAGUUCUACUGUAUAUAUAUAUAUAUAUAUAUAUAUAUAUAUACACACACACACACACACAGUUGAACAAGAUGUACCUCAACUUUCCUAGGCGUCUGCGUGCUUGUAGUUUAUAUUAACUCCGGGGCUGAGUUUCCCUCCUUCCCCUGUUUCCCCCUCCUGUUCCUCCUCCUUCUCCUCCUCCUUCCCAGGACACUGACCUACCCUUUAAAUGUUUGGUGAUAGGCAUGUAAGGGGGAGGGACGUGACUUGUUUACUGGCGGCGCAUACACUUUUCGGCUUGUCUUUUUUAAAGGGAUGGUAGCACUCUGGGUUAGGGCACAUUUAAAGAGAAAGAGGCUCCUAAAAUUGUCAGCAAUGAGUGGAAAGGAGAGCCAGAGGCUGCAAAAGCAAAACCCUCCCCCCCCCUUCUUCCCAGGUUUUGGAGAAGAUUUGAGUCCAUGGGUUGUUGUGAGUUUUCUGGACUAUAUGUCCAGGGUGGGGGAAAGAACUCUUGUCUGUUUGAGGCAAGUGUGAAUCUUGCAACUGCCAGCAUGAUUAGCCUUGCAAUUUCAAAGCCUGGCUGUUGCCUGCAAGGGGGAUCCUUUGUUGGGAGGUGUUGGGAGGAGAAAGGAGGAAACUGAACUGGGAUGUGGGGAGGCACUUCAACUACACCCUCUGGUGAAAGCUGCCGCAGAUGUGUGCGGCGCUCCCAGGGCAUGGGCUCUCCUCGGUGAAGAGGAGGAGGAGGAGGUACCCCUUGGGGCCUGUGGCUUGAGCCCCCUUUCCCAAGCCACUGGUGGGAGAGAUGAGCAAAGGAGGGAAAGAAAGCUAGAGAAAGAGAGAGAGCGCCCCUCCCCUCCCCCCCUUCCUCUUGUUUCUUCUCCCUAGGAGCUUCGCCACAGCCUCCUACACCGGACAAGAAAGAGAUGGAGGAGGAGGAGGAGGAGGGGAGAGAGACUGAGAGAGAGAGAGAAGUGGUCGCUCGCCUCUUCCUCCUCCUUGGCUUUCUUUGGGCUUCAGCUGUAAUCACGCGCGCCUGGGGAGGAGAAGAGAAGAGGAGUCGGGGGUGCACACUGUCUUCGUGAGCUGCCCCUUCCCCUUAUCCUCUUCCCCUCCUCACCUGGGCGCCGCGUCCCAAAAGAGGGCUGUGAUUUGGCUGGCCUUGCUGCUGCAGCCUGCCUGGGCCUUCCCUCGCAGGAAAGCCCGGGCCGAAGGGGAAGGAGGCGGAGGGUGGCGCCAUCUUCCUGGGGGGCUCGAGGGAGCCCCCAGGAGGGCAGCACCACAGGCAAAUGACUAUAUUGCCUGGCGGUUGAACCGCCUCUGUGCAUGGCACAUCACUCAUGCCCAGUGAAACCAUAGGUACCUUGUAUGCAGAAUAUGGCUCUUUUGGAUAGAUGCUCCUAUUGGGUUCCAUGCACUGAUAACAGCUUUUGCUAACCAGGUGCGAAGACAGUUGGAAGAAAGAAGCAGAGAGAGACACACACAGGGAUUUUGUAAUGUGGUGUUGCUUCAUGAGCUGCUAGAAGGAAUUUAUCCACAUGGACAAAGGAAAAACUAUUUUAAAUCUCUCAUAAAAGGACACUGUGAGUUGGUGCAAUUGAGCACACUGUACAUAUGUUGUUCUGGAUUCAAGAAUAAUAAACCACUUGUUCUUUAUUGUU